GCACCUUGUGCUGGGGACAAUAAAAGGCCACUCAAAAAUGUUCAAACACAAUGCCACAGGUGUCUCACAUUUUGAGGGAGUGUGCAAUUGGCAAGCUGACUGUAGGAAUGUCUACCAGAGCUGUUGCCAGAGAAUGUAAUAUUAAUUUCUCUACCAUAAGCCGCCUCCAACGUUUUAGAGAAUUUGGCAGUACGUCCAACCUGCCUCAACCGCAGACCAUGUGUAUGCCGUCAUGUGGGCGAACAGUGCUGAUCUCAAUGUUGUGAACAGAGUACCCCAUGGUGGGGUAAUGGUAUGGGCAGGCAUGAACUAUUGACUACACACAUUUAUUUUAUCAAUGGCAAUUUGAAUGCACAAAAAUACUGUAAUGAUAUCCGGAGGCCCAUUUUAAGGUGUUUGUGACUAACAGAUGCAUACCUGUAUUCCCAGUCAUGUGAAAUCCAUAGAUUAAGGCCUCAUAUGAAUUGUAACUCAGUAAAAUCAAUGAAAUUGUUGCAUGUUGUGUUUUAUAUUUUUGUUCAGAAUGUCAGUUGGAGAUUUUGAGUGCAGUAUUUGGUCAUUUACAUGCAUAUGUUUAUACGUGUAUUUUGUUUAAUACAGUAUACGAGGAGAUCUAUAUGUCAGGGUGAGAGGUGAUGGUGUGUGUAUAGAGUAGAUCUAUAUGUCAGGGUGAGAGGUGAUGGUGUGUAUAUGUAGAGUAGAUCUAUAUGUCAGGGUGAGAGGUGAUAGUGUGUGUAUAUGUAGAGUAGAUCUAUAUGCCAGGGUGAGAGGUGAUGGUGUGUAUAGAGUACAUCUAUAUGUCAGGGUGAGAGGUGAUGGUGUGUGUAUAGAGUACAUCUAUAUGCCAGGGUGAGAGGUGAUGGUGUGUAUAGAGUACAUCUAUAUGUCAGGGUGAGAGAUGAUGUGUGUAUAGAGUACAUCUAUAUGUCAGGGUGAGAGGUGAUGGUGUGUAUAUGUAGAGUACAUCUAUAUGUCAGGGUGAGAGGUGAUAGUGUGUGUAUAUGUAGAGUACAUCUAUAUGUCAGGGUGAGAGGUGAUAGUGUGUGUAUAUGUAGAGUACAUCUAUAUGUCAGGGUGAGAGGUGAUAGUGUGUGUGUGUAUAUGUAGAGUACAUCUAUAUGUCAGGGUGAGAGGUGAUGGUGUGUGUAUAGAGUACAUCUAUAUGUGAUGGCGUGUGUAUAUGUAGAGUACAUCUAUAUGUCAG
ensembl:lncRNA